GCCUGUAUUUUUAAGCUGCUGAAGGUCCACUAGACAUUCUGAUACUCCAUUGUUUGUAUGACUCCUUGAACAAUGUGGUUCAGAAUGUUGUGGGCCUUUAGUACCCACAGCAUUAUCAUCU
rnacentral:precursor_RNA from 12 species